UUACUGUGAUGACAAGCUUAGGACACCUUUGGAAAAACCGUGAAAAAAAACUUGCUCUGAGUGAC